GGGUGCGAUCAUACCCGCACUAAUGCACCGGAUCCCAUCAGAACUCCGCAGUUAAGCGCUCAUGGGCGAUAGUCGUACUAGGAUGGGCGACUUCUUAGAAAGUCCUCGUGUUGCACCCC
rfam:Gossypium raimondii Chr06_contig_386, whole genome shotgun sequence.